AGUGAACGCUGGCGGUAGGCCUAACACAUGCAAGUCGAACGGCAGCACAGUAAGAGCUUGCUCUUACGGGUGGCGAGUGGCGGACGGGUGAGGAAUACAUCGGAAUCUACUUUUUCGUGGGGGAUAACGUAGGGAAACUUCCGCUAAUACCGCAUACGUCCUACGGGUGAAAGCAGGGGAUCUUCGGACCUUGUGCGAUUGAAUGAGCCGAUGUCGGAUUAGCUGGUUGGCGGGGUAAAGGCCCACCAAGGCGACGAUCCGUAGCUGGUCUGAGAGGAUGAUCAGCCACUCGUGAACGGAGACACGGUCCAGACUCCUACGGGAGGCAGCAGUGGGAAAUAUUGGACAGUGGGCGCAAGCCUGAUCCAGCCAUACCGCGUGAGUGAAGAAGGCCUACGGGUUGUAAAGCCCUUUUGUUGGGAAAGAAAAACGGCAGGUUAAUACCCCGCUGUUCUGACGGAACCCAAAGAAUAAGCACCGGCAAACUUCGU
rnacentral:rRNA from 1 species